rnacentral:lncRNA from 1 species
AUAGAGUGUCUGCUGCUGCUGCUGCUGCUGUCGUUUUUUGCCUAGUAAGGGCCUGGAGGAGGAGGUUGUUCUGCCUCACCAAGGCCUUCAACUCCUCCACAGCACGCAGGAGUGCAUGAUCCCGUUCUACAGGACAGAAAAACAUCAUGACUGUCAUGUCAAGAGGUGCUCCUGGUUUGGGCUUUUUUCUGGUUCAUACGCGCUGCAUCAUAAUUGGCUGUUGAAGACAACAAUGAAUUCUCAUCUGGCAUAGCGCUUUGGAUGACUGCAAUUUUCGUCCGCUUGGUGUCUUUAUACGGUGGCCAAAAAGACACCUUGCCGUCCAAACUUAGCCACGAGCAAGGCACAACCUCCACCUCAUUUGACUCGGUUCCCAACCACAGCUGUCCCCAGUGCAGUUGAAUCAACAGGGUGGUUGAAAAAUGGACGUUGGUCUAAAUAUUGCCUCGCCACAAAAGACGUACCACCAAGUGUCCUGCUAAUUGCCUCUAUUUUAAAAGUGGCACCACCACACGAAACUGUGUUGUUCCCAUCCUUUGUGGACAGGGUAAAUCUAUCAGUGGCGUACUGUGUUGUUGAGGGUGAACUUUGGUUAUGGGAAGAUGGACAGACUGGGUUGAUGCUUGAUUUUUCCGUUAAUCGUUUAACAAUUUGUUGUAAUGUCUGGUUUGGCUUUCUAAUUAGUUUCUUUAAUUUAUACAAGAAAUUUUCGAAGGGAAAGGCAGAAAUUUGGGGUAGUGGGCCAUAUUUUCUAACAUCACUUGCCAGGUGGAUCAAGCUGUGGACGUUAUACACCAGAAAGUCCCCAUAG